UACGAAGGGGGCUAGCGUUGCUCGGAAUCACUGGGCGUAAAGGGUGCGUAGGCGGUGCUUUAAGUCAGGGGUGAAAUCCUGGAGCUCAACUCCAGAACUGCCUUUGAUACUGAAGAUCUUGAGUUCGGGAGAGGUGGGUGGAACUGCGAGUGUAGAGGUGAAAUUCGUAGAUAUUCGCAAGAACACCAGUGGCGAAGGCGGCUCACUGGCCCGAUACUGACGCUGAGGCACGAAAGCGUGGGGAGCAAACAGG
rnacentral:rRNA from 1 species